GAUGAACGCUGGCGGCGUGCUUAACACAUGCAAGUCGAACGGUGAAGGCGGAGCUUGCUCUGCUGGAUCAGUGGCGAACGGGUGAGUAACACGUGAGCAAUCUGCCCCUGACUCUGGGAUAAGCGCUGGAAACGGCGUCUAAUACUGGAUACGAGCUGCGAAGGCAUCUUCAGCAGCUGGAAAGAACUUCGGUCAGGGAUGAGCUCGCGGCCUAUCAGCUUGUUGGUGAGGUAACGGCUCACCAAGGCGUCGACGGGUAGCCGGCCUGAGAGGGUGACCGGCCACACUGGGACUGAGACACGGCCCAGACUCCUACGGGAGGCAGCAGUGGGGAAUAUUGCACAAUGGGCGAAAGCCUUAUGCAGCAACGCCGCGUGAGGGACGACGGCCUUCGGGUUGUAAACCUCUUUUAGCAGGGAAGAAGCGAAAGUGACGGUACCUGCAGAAAAAGCGCCGGCUAACUACGUG
rnacentral:rRNA from 1 species